CAAAGCAUAUGCAUUUAUGGAGAUAUGUAACCAAACGAAGACAUUUAACAAGUAGAAAAUAUUAAGUUUUAAGUCAAAGCUUUAUAUGGAGUAGGCCUGAUGCUCAAUUUUUCUGCUAAGUUUCAUGUAAGUAGUCAAACACAUUGAUAAAUCCAUAUCAGUGUUUAAAGUUUUAAUGAAUGGAUAAGUUAUUGUAAUAAAUACUAUCAUCAACUGAAAAUGGCAUGGCAAAACGAAGCUUAAACCUCAAUACAAUCUACUUCCAGUACGUUUUUCAGUAGAAGUCAUGAAUUAAGUUGAUUUUUUCAGCUUAACACUGUACUGUAAAUUUGUCGAUUAGCAUACCUACAUUCUGCAUCUGUUUU